UCCCUGAUGGUCCUGUGGCUAAGACUUCAUGCUUUUAAUGCAGAGGACCCAGAUUCGAUCCCUGGUCAGGGAA
rnacentral:tRNA from 1 species